CGCCUCCUGAAAAAAUAUAAGAGGUCCAGCCUGCCCAGUGACUUGUUUAACGGCCGCGGUAUCCUAACCGUGCGAAGGUAGCGUAAUCACUUGUCUUUUAAAUAAAGACUAGUAUGAAAGGCAUCACGAGGGUCAAACUGUCUCCUUUUUCUAAUCAGUAAAACUAAUCUUCCCGUGAAGAAGCGGGAAUUUCUCUAUAAGACGAGAAGACCCUAUGGAGCUUUAAACUGUAAGUUAUUCGCCCGUUCCCACCUCAAUUUCAGAAAUUUAACACUCUGGGCCCACUAACUACACGUUUUAGGUUGGGGUGACCUAGGAGCAAAACAAACCCUCCUAGCUGACACGGGCUAAGCCCUGAGAAAAAAGCCACAACUUUAACCACCUAUAAAUUGACACCAAUUGACCCAGUCCGCUGAGCAACGAACCAAGUUACCCUAGGGAUAACAGCGCAAUCUACUUCAAGAGUCCCUAUCGACAAGUGGGUUUACGACCUCGAUGUUGGAUCAGGGUGUCCGAGUGGUGCAGCCGCUACUAAAGGUUCGUUUGUUCAACGAUUAAAACCCU
rnacentral:rRNA from 1 species